CAAAGGAAUUGACGGGGGCCCGCACAAGCGGUGGAGCAUGUGGUUUAAUUCGAAGCAACGCGCAGAACCUUACCAACCCUUGACAUCCUAGGACCGGUCCAGAGAUGGAUCUUUCACUUCGGUGACCUAGUGACAGGUGCUGCAUGGCUGUCGUCAGCUCGUGUCGUGAGAUGCUCGGUUAAGUCCGGCAACGAGCGCAACCCACAUCCCUAGUUGCCAGCAGUUCGGCUGGGCACUCUAUGGAAACUGCCCGUGAUAAGCGGGAGGAAGGUGUGGAUGACGUCAAGUCCUCAUGGCCCUUACGGGUUGGGCUACACACGUGCUACAAUGGUAGUGACAAUGGGUUAAUCCCAAAAAGCUAUCUCAGUUCGGAUUGGGGUCUGCAACUCGACCCCAUGAAGUCGGAAUCGCUAGUAAUCGCGUAACAGCAUGACGCGGUGAAUACGUUCCCGGGCCUUGUACACACCGCCUGUCACACCAUGGGAGUUGGUUCUACCCGA
rnacentral:rRNA from 1 species